rnacentral:lncRNA from 1 species
AACGGAGGCAAUUAAAAAGUCAUUGAUACGUCACGUGGUUGAGUGAAAGAGGAAGAACUAUUGUAAUUUUUAAAAAAUUACCAGAACAGCAGGGGGGAUUCCAAACAUGACUCGGCUACAAACGAACCGAAACCACGCAGAACUGGUGGAUUCAGCCGGACUGGAAGAGCAGGCGGACACCGCACAGCCUCGGGGGCGCGAGAACGCGGACCUCUAAGAAUUUCCACCUGCGAACAGGUGAGCUGCGUUUCGAGACGCAAGUCCGUCCCCUGUCACUUCACUUCCGCUUUACCUGUCCUGGAAGCCGCCUCCUCCUUUUCCGUCCCGCCUCCCUCGGGUCCUGAUUGGCUGCCACCCCACAAAUGUACCCAAAUUUGCACAGUUCUCUGCUGGACACAGUUCUGUACACAUUUUCUAAAUAGGCACAGCACUAAACUGGAAUGCAAGUGGGACAUUUCAAUGCACCUUCAAUACAAUCCACCCAUUUUCAUGUACCACCACCAGUUUAACAUGGCGUUCUUAGUCUUGUGGUUGUCAUAUGAGAAUAUUUGUCCAGUGUCUCACAUUGUUCUGUCUCGUGUUUUUGUGCUGUAGGUGAUGUAAUGUUAUCUUAAUGCUGCAAAAGUAUUGUAUUGUAUUAUAAUUAAAUUGAGUAUGAUGAUUAUGAGUGUUUUUGUUUUUCCUCUGUUUAUAUGCUACAAACAGCGUUGUGAAGUAUCCAACAAGAGUGACUGAAGCUGGAAUUAUUUCUGACCUGUCUUUGACAAAGUCCCCCCAUUAACAUUUCUGGUUGCCGGGAUGUUCUGAUUAUGUUCGCGUUUCGUUCCCCCAAAAUACAAAAAAACUUCCAAUAUUGCGUCCUGUGAACUAUCAGCUCUCAACUAUCAGGUCACGUCAUGUGAAAAAAACAGAGGAAUACACCGAUUGAACAACGGUGAUGUCAUGCAGCAUAAUGUGAUCAAAUCAUAAUUAUAAAUAUAAAUAAAUGUAAUUUAUUUCUGAGAAACCUCGCAGUGAGGCUCAGAGGUCAGGUGUUUGG